rnacentral:rRNA from 1 species
UACGUAGGUGGCAAGCGUUAUCCGGAAUUAUUGGGCGUAAAGCGCGCGCAGGCGGUUUCUUAAGUCUGAUGUGAAAGCCCGGGGCUUAACCCCGGAAGUGCAUUGGAUACUGGGAAACUAGAGGGUGUAAGAGGAGAGUGGAAUUCAUGGUGUAGGGGUGAAAUCCGUAGAUAUCAUGAGGAACAUCAGUGGCGAAGGCGGCUCUCUGGUACAUUUCUGACGCUCAGACGCGAAAGGCAUGGG